rnacentral:lncRNA from 1 species
GCAAGUAUCCACUCACUACCCCUAGUGAGUAUAUCAUAUCUGGUCUCAUACAUGAUGUACAUAAUAGAAUAAAUUUUACUCAUAAAUAUUCUAUGUACGUUGGACUGGGAUAACCCUAGUAGCCUCCUAGAUCUAUCUUUAUAGAUCUUCAUCCCUAGGAUGAGGGAUGCUUUUUUCAAGUUCUUUAGGGAGAACAAUGAUAACAGUAAAAUCUUUAUUCUCUGUAAUAUAAGA